ensembl:rRNA 5S_rRNA 5S ribosomal RNA
GUCUGUGGCCAUACCACCCUAAAACCAUCCCGAUCUUGUCUGAUCUCAUGAAGUUAAGCAGGGUCAGGUCUGGUUAGAAGUUGGAUGGGAGACUUAAGCUCUACUCCUGAGUAUUCCUAUUU